UCUGUCCAGGUGGCAGUAACUCUAACUGUCCUAAGGUAGCAAAAUUCCUUGUCGCAUAAGUAGCGACCUGCACGAAUGG
rnacentral:rRNA from 2 species